rnacentral:lncRNA from 1 species
AGGAGCUUGGGAUACAUGGAUGAACAAGGCAGACAAGUAUCCCCAUCCGUAUGGAGUUUACAUUCCAGGGGCAGGAGACAGGUCAGUAAAUUAUACUUUUGUUAGAGAGUGGUAAGUGCUAUGGAGGAAAGGAAAGUUGUUUCUGGAGAUGCAGGGUUGGGGGCAGGUCACAGCUGGAGUCAGGCAGCCCAGUCAAGAGGCUGUGGAAAGUCAAGCUGGAGAGGCAAGGCCUGCUGGGGGCUGUGGAGGUCAGGAGAAGGCCACACACCACGGGCCAGACUGUGUAUGGUAGGGGUGGGACCAAGGUGCCACUGAGCUUUUACGUUUAGGUGGCAAAGAAGAUGAUGUCAUUCAUAAAAGCAGGAAGGCAUUAGUUCAUUUGAGGAACAGAAAGAGUGCAGUGCAUCUGAUGAGCGGGGAGAGGCGUUUCAGAUGAAGAGACAGGCUGGGACCAGGUCAUGUAGCCUGGUAGUCUCUUGGGGAAUUAUUCCAAGAACAAUGGGA